rnacentral:rRNA from 1 species
GCACAAGCGGUGGAUGAUGUGGUUUAAUUCGAUGCAACGCGAAAACCUUACCCACCUUUGACAUGUACGGAAGUUGCCAGAGAUGGCUUCGUGCUCGAAAGAGAGCCGUAACACAGGUGCUGCAUGGCUGUCGUCAGCUCGUGUCGUGAGAUGUUGGGUUAAGUCCCGCAACGAGCGCAACCCUUGUCAUUAGUUGCUACGAAAGGGCACUCUAAUGAGACUGCCGGUGACAAACCGGAGGAAGGUGGGGAUGACGUCAAGUCCUCAUGGCCCUUAUAGGUGGGGCUACACACGUCAUACAAUGGCUGGUACAAAGGGUUGCCAACCCGCGAGGGGGAGCCAAUCCCAUAAAGCCAGUCGUAGUCCGGAUCGCAGUCUGCAACUCGACUGCGUGAAGUCGGAAUCGCUAGUAAUCGUGGAUCAGCAUGUCACGGUGAAUACGUUCCCGGGUCUU